GAUGAACGCUGGCGGCGUGCCUAAUACAUGCAAGUCGAGCGAACAGACGAGGGGCUUGCUCCUCUGACGUUAGCGGCGGACGGGUGAGUAACACGUGGAUAACCUACCUAUAAGACUGGGAUAACUUCGGGAAACCGGAGCUAAUACCGGAUAAUAUAUUGAACCUCAUGGUUCAAUAGUGAAAGACGGUUUUGCUGUCACUUAUAGAUGGAUCCGCGCCGCAUUAGCUAGUUGGUAAGGUAACGGCUUACCAAGGCAACGAUGCGUAGCCGACCUGAGAGGGUGAUCGGCCACCCUGGAACUGAGACACGGUCCAGACUCCUACGGGAGGCAGCAGUAGGGACUCUUCCGCAAUGGGCGAAAGCCUGACGGAGCACAGCCGCGUGAGUGAUGAAGGUCUUAGGAUCGUAAAACUCUGUUAUUAGGGAAGAACAAAUGUGUAAGUAACUAUGCACGUCUUGACGGUACCUAAUCAGAAAGCCACGGCUAACUACGUG
rnacentral:rRNA from 1 species